GAGAAGGAUUGGGAACAGAUGUUAGCUCAGCACCAAUCUUCCUCACCAAAAAAAAAAAAAGUCUUACUAAAGAAAAGUUCAUGCAACCUGUACAAAGCAUGAUGGGAUGACAUGCAGAGGGAGUUUUUACAGUGAAUUCAUUAUAUUUACAUAGCACUUAUUAUUUACAAAGUUAUUUAUGUCCAGUGUUUCAUUACUCAUCAGAAUAUCUCGAUUGUGCAAAUAUUAUCUACAUUGAUCAGAUGAUAACCCUAUGGCCCAGAGAGGCUAACAGUUGCUCGUUAAAUGGUGAAUUUGAAAAAAGCAUCCAGCUCUCCUGACCUCUUAUCGAAUUUUCUUUUCACUACCACACUGAGGGAGGGGAUCAUUAACUCAGAUUCUGGAGGCUCUCACGCUGGCAUGAACCCUUGAUCAUAAUUGACCUAAAUUAUUCUGAUCUACAACUGUUUAAAUUAAAAUUCAACAAAUAAUUGCUCAACUUCAUUUUAUGCUGACUACAGAGAGCUGCCCUUGGAGGGCCUGCAAAGGGAAUCUAUUACCCAGAAAAUAAAGCAAAGCUUUUAUUGAAUUGAAUUAAAGUGAUUCAUUUCUUUUUUCUUCUUUAAAGAUCUUUUCAUCGAUUGUUAGUUAAAAAAAAAUCCCUUAGGAAAUUCUUUAUAAAUGAAUAAGGUUGAUUUUGUGAUAAAACUAAGUUCUGCUACUUUACUUUUUCCCUCCCUUGGAGUGCUUGGAACUUUCUCCUCUUUACGUCGGCCUUCACGUCUUCUGCACACCCAUUAUCCCGAGUAGCUUUUCUUCCUUUUUUCCACGCUUUAAUCUCUUUUCUGCUCACUCAAGAUAGGCGUGCUGUAAAGGUACAUUUCACCCUUGUGGUGGGGUACUUAAAAGUCAAAAUGUAAAGAACAGAGUGAUGUAUUUACCAUUCUUCCGGAAUUGAUGCUGCUUCUGGAAGCAUAUAUCGAACUGAGAAAAUUUUUAUUUUUGUGAAAUUUUUAAUCAGUCCCUUCAUGCUCUUGACCAAAACCUUUUGAGAUUUUACUAAGUGUGGAGACCGGUCCUAAGUGCUGGGAAUUCAAAGAUGGUUAAGACCCAGGCCUUGAUCUUAAGAAGGCUGGAGUUGAAUAUAAUCUCCUAGUUGUUUAUUUUUGGCCUGUUUCCAGAUUUUUCACGAAAUUUUGCAUAGGUCUUUGAGUGAACCAUCAUUCUGUGCCUCUGACAUGCCAUACAGCGCAUUCGCUGGACGCGUUAAAUGGAAGGGAAGGGAUGGCUUCGAUAGUCAUAUCACUAAGCCUUCUCGGGUAAUAAAAUCAGCCUUAAAGAAGACGUGAUUGGUUACACUGCUUCAGGAUUGUCAAAUGUGGAAGAGUUAGAAUUUGGAGAGCCAUAAUGAGCUAUGUAUUAAAGGAAAGUUACAACUCAUUUUCUGACAUUCAGUCCGAUUGGUUUAAAUUCCUAUUUUUUUCUUUUUUCGAAAUUGGUUUGAAUUUCCUAGCCACUAUCGCUACAAGACCUGUCUUUUCUUAGUUCAGAGGGAUAAUAUUUUGCAGAGAUUUAUAUACAGCAUUUCAUACACAUAUCAAUACUAAGGUUUGUCUUCAUAAGCAUUUUUUUAAGUCAGCUGAUUAAAUAUUAAGGUUUUGUCUAGUUGUGAAGUAAGAUUUUUUCCAAGAUUUCCAAAUCAUGGUUACUGAAAACAGUGAAACCCUAUAUUUCAUUGGCAAAGAGCUAUAGGGACUUGAACCUUUAAUCAAGAAUUGCUAAAUGCUUCAGUUUCUAAAUUGUUUAUGAGUUAACCAGGACUCUCCACCCAAAUCUGUUCUGCCUGAGUGUAAGGGCUGGUUCUCUGCUUACAGUACCCUAGACAGUACAGCUCUUCUAUGGUUCACGCGUGACUGAAGUCGAGAUGAGAUGAGUGUGAUCUGAUCAUGUAUAGAAAUGCUUGAACAUUGUUGGCAUGGAUCCACUCAAAGUUACUGGGUUUUCACUUGGGGAGGAGUGUGGAAAUGUGUUUUAAAUGACAUUCUAUCUUCUCUUCUGCUUGUCUCUUAAAAGCCCCGCCUGUCUCUUUCAGCCAGUGUAACACAAAAAGUCUUCCAGGAGGGCAGGCCGACAAGCACAGGCUUUGAUUCACAGCCAGCUUUGUUCCAACACAGUUGUAUGAGUGCCACAUCCAUGAAACUAAUGCCCCUUUUCUGGCCCUACUACAGAAGUCCAAGUUUCCUUUCCAGACGGCUGUGCAGCUUGAGUGCCGCCAGUAGGCUAGAGUCCUUAUCCACCCAACAAAAGAGAUGUCUGCUUCACUCUGGAAUAUUAGUGUGGCAUUUCUAAUAAAGACAAUGUGGGGAAUCAUGCAGCUGGAGAUAUAUAUGUAGAAGGCAAUAUUGUUAGGUAAAUAUAGGUAUGGAACUUUUUUUCUUGGCCGCCUAUCCUAAGAAAUGAUAUAUCGUAUCACUAAUGUCAGGAGAAUACAUCUUUUUAAUUUAAGCAUUCAGUCAGUUAUUAAAAAAUCAUUUUUUGAGUGCCAUUCACUGAGUUUGUCUGUGUGCUAGGUGCUGGGGAUAUGGAAACAAAUAGGACAUGCUUCAUUGCCAAAGGCCAUACACUCAUAAGCAAUUAAUUAUGAGACAGACGAGAAGGUGCGCCUGAAGAUAACAAAAGAGGCAAGAGUAAACUAACGUGGCCCUGGGGGAGAGGAAACCGUAGAAGCAAGGAAGCCUCCCCAGAGGAGGGGGUUCAGGCUGAACAUGUGGGGUUUGGAGUUUAUUUGUUUGUUCCUAUUUCUUAUUGUCUCCUAAAGUGAAUGAAAUUUAUCUUACUCAACGUAACAUUCAUAGUUUUAAUUUUACAUAAAUGAUCUCUCUUAAUUCCCAUGACAAAUGUGUGUUACUCCUUUUUACAUAGGAGAAAGUUGAGCCUUAGAGUUUGACUUACUCGGUAAUUGGUAAUUGGAGAAACUGGAGCUAAAAAUACUCCCUUGGCACCAAUUCCCUUGCUUUUUUCAUCAACGCACUGCCUCGAUUUGAUGGUAUUUUGGCUUCAUAGCCAUAAUAUUUCAUCACUUGAAGUCAGCUCACAAUUGAUUAUCCAUUUUGAUUUUGAUUGACCCAAAUGCUAAGGAAUUUCUCCUUGCUUUUGAUUGCAAGUAUUAGAGGAACAAAGAAAAAUUAUACAAGUAAUCAUGUUUAUUGAGGAAUUAUUAAAUGCCAGGUACGGCAUUUGUACUUGAGUGGUUUAGCUCACAAUAAUCUUAUGAUGCAGCUACUCUGUUUUUGUUUUACAGAUGAACAAACAGAAUCUUAGAGCAAUGAGGAAACUUAGCCGAAGUUGCCAGUUAGCGUGUAGAAGAGAUUGAUUUAGUCUUGGCAGUCUGAUUCCAGAGCUCAGGAACCUCAUCAGUCUGUUCUAAUAUCUGAUGAGGCACAAGUUUAGUCCACCCUAUCAUAGUUCAAGAAUUAAUGAAAUAGAUGAUCCAAACUCUCGAAGACCCUCUCCAGAGUUUUAACAAUGUAAGAUUAUUCUACUGUAUAAGUGAGGGAAAAGUAGACAACAUGUGGUAUUGGGACACCUGCACUGUGCCUUUUCCCAAUUCACUACUUUAUAUCUGCUUCCUUUUAAAACACAGCCUCAUGUAACUGCUUCAUAUUUAUGUAUGGCAUAUUUGCAUAUUAAUGAUGGCUCUCUAGACAGCAAAGCCGGCAUAUACAGGGUGUGUUGGAUGCUGUCACGUCCCUUUUGCCCACACUGUCAGAGAAGUGCUUUCCAAAAAAUAUAGUAAUGCCCUGUUCCUCUCACUUUGGCUCGCCUUCUAAAUUUGGCCAAGAAGUAAGGAAAUCUAUCUCUUCAACAGAUUCAGAUUUGUUUGUAUUUCUAUACCUUAGAAGGGCUUCUGAAUUUUUCUCUUCAAAUCAUUUAGGUAAAGGAGGAGCCAAGGUGGGAGAGUGAACAAAAGCAGGAGAGAACAUAAAUUCCAGGUGGCUGUGAAUUGGCAUGCCUCUUUUGUUCGUGACUCAGAACUGGGUGCUGUGGAGUGCUAAAUCAGACUGGUCGUCUGGUAGAGUCAAAGACGACUGAAUCCUCAGAGGAACAUUAUGGUUGGUGCAGUAUAUCACACAGUCCUAGAAAUUAGUGAUAUAAAGUAUUUCCGUGGAGAAGACAGCCGUUUAGUGAGCAAUGCUCCAGGACUUGUCCAUCAAAACAAACUAAAACCAAAGUAGAAACACUCACUAUGGCGCUUAGAAUGGACUUUCAGAAUAUCUGUUUUAUGAUUAUGUUUAGAUUCUGUGUAGUCUAAAGUUUUUAUAUGUGAUGUUUCCUUUUCUAAACAUCUCAUACUGAUGUGAAAUUAGAGAAGCUGGUAGGAGGGUGAGGAAUCCAGAUGUGUUGUUUCUCUUUCCUCAUAUGAUAAAGAUCAGGAUCUAACUAGAUCUGAAAAACUAAAGAGGCACCAUUUGUCCCAAUUGGAAAGCCAGACUUCCUGGCAAUCAUAGUACAUGGAUUAAGCAGAAAUUGAAGAGCAGAGGAGAUACCAAGAAGUCCAUCCACCUGUUACAGAGGUGUGUGGCAGCCUAAGCGUGUGUGAGCUGUUCCAUGAAUCCAGAACAAAGAGGAAAACUUGAACCUAAGAAGAAAGAACACACUCAUCGGCUUGGCGUGGUGCUUGAUUUAAUCAGACACUUUAUCUUAAGGGUAUAUGUUUAGGUUGAAAACAAAUUAUUUGAGCAGUUCUGAUGUGCAGUAUAUGGUUCAGACAAUGACAUAAUUUUUGAAUAUUGAGUUCCUUUCCCGCAGCCUUGGUUUUCCUAAUGGACAAACUAAUAGUGACUAUUUACUAACUAGGUAAUUCAAGGAAGUCGAGUUAGCAUAAAAUGAAAUUGCCUCACAAGUUUACCUGAUAGUGGUAAAACGUUACCAUUCUUAAUCUCUUAUUAUGACAUUAGAUCUAAAAAUUACAGUUGUAUUUCCAGUUGCUGCAGGAUAUGGCACGAAUCGGAUGUUAUGUGGGAGUGCUAUUUACCCCAAUUAAUUCAGCUCUUUUCUGCUCAUCUUCUGGUCUGGUGGAGUACUUCAUUUUCCGGGGGCUUGAAGAACACUUUCAGAAAAGGGCAUGGAAUAUAACAUUGUAGCUUGUUCCCCCCAAACAAAAAUUACUCUGGUAAAAUAGCUACUUAGAAGUUGUUUUCAUUUUAAAGUAAUCAUUUAAAAACAAAACAGAAUAACUGAAUUACUGUUGAUUUCAGUUUAGCUCCUUUGGCAUUGCAGAAUUAUAUUUUUGCUGCUACUAUAAGGGAAUAAUUUUUAAAGCAUUAUCUGGAAGUAGAAAUAUGUGUUUUAAGUGCUAGUCCAAAAUUAAAAGAAGAGCACUUUUUAAUACCAGUAAAGAGAGAGAGACGCAAAGUGGGGAGGGAUAGAGAAUCAGUCGGAAAACAUGAGAAGCGAAAGGAAACUGUUUACAUAGCAUCUGAUUUCUGAAUGACUCUGCUUUGUUCUUCCACAGAAACAGGAAGAAAUGUCACAUGGAAUCAUUAAAAUCAUAAAUUCUCCUAUCUUCUUGUGGAAAAAUUAUGCAGACUCUGACUGAAAAAUAAUGUGGUGACUAAAGCAGAAGAUUAGUGAGAACAUCAUUGCCUUUGAUUGUCCUUCAAUAUCACCUGUGGUUCUAAGGAAGUGGCAGAUCUGAAGAGCUGAAAUGUAAUGUAAUAUGCUGACUCGUUUGCCUGAUGGAUGUGUGACUGCCCUCUGUUGGAUGAAAUUAGAUCUGCUCUUAUAUGUUAGACUGUCUUGCCCUCUAGUGGUUUGUGCAGAAGAUAGUAAUGAAGACAUUGGAGAAUACUGCAUGAAGAAUCAGGACGAACACGUCUUGUCUUUUCGACUCUGUUCUCAUUGCAACAAACACAGGAAAGGAGAAGAAAGGGACACAGCCCCCGGGCUCACUUGUGAGGUGAGUGGAACCUGCAGAUCCAAGGGUUUCCCAGUCUGUAGACCUGCAGCCGGAAUUUGAAGAGUGUGUCAGCUUCCUGUGUAACCUUGGUUGUUUCUUUACCUUCACUUUGAAAGUAAGAUUGCAGCUCUUAUCUCAAAGAGUUGUUAUGAGGAAUAAUUGCACUGGUCUAGUGCAGUCCCUGAAACAUAUCUGCUAUUCAGUAAACAGAUUGAGCACCUUUUUCCCUUUUCUUUUAGAUUCCACCCCAAAUCACUUCAAUGCACUUUGUUCAAGGCACUAUUUGAAGCCUAAUGCCAAUGAUAUGCAAUUCUUUCUGCUAAUAUUUGGUAAUUGAUGGUCCAAAUCCCAGAGACUUGUGAAUAGACCUGAGGGCAUCAACUCUUAUAUCAAAGAUCAUAUUUAAUGUCAAAAUAGGAAUAAUGAUAGCUAACCUUUACGUGGCGUUUACUGUGUGCCAGGCACUGUUCUAAGCACUGUCCGUAUGUUCCCUCACUGAAUCCUCACAGCAAUCCUAUGAAGUAGGUAUUAUUAUUUUUCUUUUUAAGGCACAGGAAGAUUAAAACUUGCUCAAGGUCACACAGCCAAUAAUUGGUGAAGUUGGGAUUGGCGUAGCAGUGAUGCACUGACGCAGUACAUCUCAAAGUUAGAGGGAAUUUAUGAAGGCAGGAGCAAGAAGAGCACUGUAUCUUAUAUUUCAUUCAAGGUCAUAGACUCUGCAACAUGAACAACAAAAAAAGGAAGAAUAAAUAUUGGAGAGAAAAAUAUAAAAGCAUUCUUCUAUGUGGACAAUAUUGUCCUCUACAUAGAAAAAGCCAACACAAUCAACUGAAAAAUUAUGAGAAAUGCUAAAAUAGGUCAGUAAAGUGAUCUUAAAUCAAAGUACAAAAGCUAUUUUUUUAACAAACAAACAGCAAUUGAUUAAAAAUAUAAAAAAAUAUUUUCAUUCAAAAUAAGAAUAUAAAUUUUAAAGGAAUAAGAUUAAAACUUGUAAGAACAAUGUGCAAAACCUUAAUGCUGAAAAUAUAAAACUUUAAAGCUAGAUCAAAAAGAAGAUCUGAAUAAAUAAAGGUAUAUAUCACAUUUGUGGAUGUAAAAUCUCAAUAUUCUAGAAGAUUAAUUUUCAAAAUAAUCCUUAAAGUUAAUAUAAUAGUCAUGGAAUUUAGGAAAGAGUUUUUCAUGGGACAUGAAAUCCAACUCUAAAAUUCAUAUGGAAAAGAAGACAGAGAAGAAUAGUAAAAAUAGUUUUGAAGAAUGAUAGCAGUCCUAUCAGAUGUCAAAAUAUAAUUGAAAAAUGUAGUAAAUAAUAAGUUGAGAUAUUUAAAAGAACACAAAGGAGUAUCUAGAAAUGGACAUACAGAAAUUUAACGUACCAAAAACAUCUUUUCUGGUAAAAAAUAUGGACUAUUUAAUAAAAUGGAAUUGAGAUAAUUUUCUAUCUUCCAAGCAAAAUAAUACUUGGAUUCCUACCUUUGAAGAUUCACAUAAAUAUGUUUCAGAUGAACCAAAGACCAACGUAUAAAAACAAAAACAAACAAACAAAAAGGAAAGUCUAUAAAUAUAUUACAAGAAAACAAAAAAAUGUCUCACCUUAGAGCAGGGAAGGUAUUCUUUAAAAACAACAACAACAACAAAA